CUUAUUGUAGGGUAUGUAGAUAUCAGCUUGAUAUAACUCUAGCCAUGUUAAGCCAUGAUGGAGACCACUACUCCAAGGAAACAAACUUACCUGGUUUUUCCUGCAAAGCAUCAGAAGUUAAAAGUUUAGGGUCAGCCGGGCGUGGUGGCACAUGCCUUUAAUCCUAGCACUCGGGAGGCAGAGGCAGGUGGAUUUCUGAGUUCGAGGCUAGCCUGGUCUACAAAGUGAGUUCCAGGACAGCCAGGGCUACACAGAGAAACCCUGUCUCAAAAAAACAAAAAAACAAAAAAAAAAGUUUAGGGUCACAUGUGUGGGAAGGGGAUUAAAUUUGGAUCCUGCUUUUUUUCCUCUGGCGGCAGCCAUCAGGUGAGCCAAGAUGGGUGCAUACAAAUACAUCCAGGAGCUAUGGAGGAAGAAGCAGUCCGACGGGAUGUGCUUUCUUCUGAGGGUCCGCUGCUGGCAAUACCGCCAGCUCUCUGUGCUGCACAGGGCUCCCCGCCCCACCCGGUCUGAUAAAGCUCGAAGACUGGGGUACAAGGCUAAGCAAGGCUAUGUCAUUUACAGGAUUCGUGUCCGCCGUGGUGGUCGUAAACGCCCAGUUCCUAACUAAGGGUGUAAGCCUGUCCACCAUGGUGUUAACCAGCUGAAAUUUGCCCGAAGCCUUCAGUUUGUUGCUGAGGAGAGAGCUGGGCCCCAUUGUGGGGCUUUGAGAGUCCUGAAUUCCUACUGGGUUGGUGAAGAUUCCACAUAUAAAUUUUUUGAGGUUAUCCUCAUUGAUCCGUUCCAUAAAGCUAUCAGAAGAAAUCCUGACACCCAGUGGAUCACCAAACCAGUCCACAAACACAGAGAGAUGUGGGAAGCCACAUGUGCCGUUGUAGAGUGGCACUGACUACUGCUGGCCACCACGCAUAAGUUUGGACAAACAACCAAUGUGUACAUAUGCAGUAAAGUUUUUUUGCAAAGACACUGCCUGGCCCGGCAUGAUAAUGAGCUUCUGUAAGGUACUGAGAGUAUAACCAAUCAGAUGUGAGACAUGCAAAUGAGGUAUGAUAAUGAGGUUCUGUAAGGUACUGAGAGAGAGUAGCCAAUCAGAUGAGGAACAUGCAAAUGAGGCUUAGUGCAUAACCAAUCCGGGUGUGAGACACGCCUCUCCUAGGCCUAUAAAAGCAACACCAGUUCUGGGCUUGGGGUCUUUUCGCCUCUACAAUCAAGCUCUCCCAAUAAACGUGUGCAGAAGGAUCCUGUUGCAGCGUUGUUCUUCCUGGCCAGUCGAGCGCGCGCAAGAGAGAGAUGCGUGGGCUGACAUCUGCUGGCCGAAAGAGCAGUGGCCUUAGAAAAGGCCACAAGUUCCACCACACUAUUGGUGGUUCCUGCCGUGCAGCCUGGAGAAGGCGCAAUACUCUCCAGCUCCACCCUUACCACUAAUACACGUGAUAUUUGUAAAAUUCAUAUCCAAUAAACAAUUUAGGACAGUCAAAAAAAAUUGGAUCCUGAUUCUCCACAUGAAUUUGAUUAUUUGAUUUUGUUUUUCCAGAUAAAUAGAAUGCAUGCCAGUCCGGAUGAAGUCAGUUUUAUCCUAUUAGAAUUUCUGGCCUGAAUUGCAGAGGGCCUUGCUCUUUGCAACCCGUGACUACACCAUCUCUUCAGUCUCCCCCAACCCCCUUUUAAGACAGGUUCUUGCGAUACUGUUUUAGCUGGUUUGAUCAAUGUGGACACCAAGCUGGUCUAGAACUUGCAGUGAACCUCCUGCCUUUGCCUCCUGAGUGCUGGGAUUACAGACCAAAUCAUUCAUUUUUGUGACUGGGUGUAUUCCACUGUAUGGAAUUUAUUAUUAUUAUUAUUUAUUUAUCUAUUCACCUGCUGAUGGACACUUACAUUGUUUCAAAGGCUUCCUUAUAAAUGCAGUUACUAUGAGAACUGACCAAGCCUUCAUUGGGGCUUCAGUUUCCCUUGAUCUGUCAGUGAUGGUCAGUCAUGCAGUAGAUUUUCAUUUCUGAGAUGAGGUGGGUUGUGGUUUGGCUCAGCGUUUGUAUCAAGCAGGGUAAGGCUGGACCCAGGAUAAAUUAAGGAGUUUUUCAUCUUAUUCUAUGUGCCGGGAUAGUUUAUAUUUUGCAGGGAGGGGCUUGUUUGUUUGUUGGUCGGUUUUUGGUUUUGGUUUUGUUGUUUGGAAGGGGUUAAGACAGGGUCUCGAUAUGUAGCUGUCUCUGUCUGGUCUGGAAUUCACUCUGUAGACCAAGCUGGCCUCAAGCUCAGAGGCACUCAUCUGCCUAGGUGUCACCCCUCCCAUUAUUCCUGAGUGCUGGGAUUAAAAUGCAUUAUUACCAUGCUUGACUAGUUCCCCACCUCCCCAUGUUUUCAAACAGGGUUUGUGUAGCCUUGGCCAUUCUGGAACUCAUUUUGUAGACCAGGCUGGCCUUGAACUCACAGAGAUCUGUGUGCCUCUGCCUCCCAAGUGCUGGGAUUAAAGGCAUGUGUGACCAUUGCUUGGCUGCUAGUUUGGUUUUUAAAAAAGACGUUUAUUUUGGGGUUCAGUGGAUAAAAGGACUACUUGCUCUUGCAUUAGUACACGGUUCCAUUCCUAGUGCCCACAUGGUAGCUCACAACCAUCUGCAACUCUAGUUCCAGGGCAACUAAUACACCUGGUAUAGAUAUAGAUAUAGAUAUAGAUAUAGAUAUAGAUAUAGAUAUAGAUAUAGAUAUAGAUAUAGAUAUAGAUAUAGAUAUAGAUAUAUAUGAGGGCAAAGUCUGAAAUACAAAUAAAUCUUUUUAAAAAUAUUAUGUAUUAGUUUACUUUUGUGUGUGUGUGCAUGUGUGUUUGUAUGUGUAUGUAUGUGUGUGUGCACAUGCCACAGCACAGUUGUGGAGGCUGCAAGCAGGAAACAAAGAUCAUACUGGGAUUAGCAGGACCACUUUUUUGUUUGUUUGUUUGUUUGUUUGUUUGUUUGAAACUGGGUCUCACAAUGUAGAACAGGCUAGUCUCAAAAUCAGAGAUCUGCCAGCCUCUGCCUCCCAAGUGCCAGGAUUAAAGGUGUGCGCCACCACACCUGAACUAGAGAUUGAACUCAGGGCUUUGUGCACACUAGGGAAGCAUCUACUAUUCUGGGCCCAGAGUGUGAUUUCCCCCCCAAGAAAGAUGAAGGCUAUUAAGGCAGGCAUACAGGCACACACCUGUAACUUAGCCUUGGAGCCAGGAAGGUUAAAGCAGCAGAUCAAGAGCUUGAGAGCCAGAGACCAGCCUGGGCUGGAUACAGCAAGAACUUGUUGGGGCUGGAGCGAUGGCUCAGUGGUUAAGGGUACUGACUGCUCUUCCAGAGGUCCUGAGUUCAAGUCCCAGCAAUCAUAUGGCUCACAACUAUCUGUAAUGGGAUCUGAUGUCCUCUUCUGGUAUGUCUGAAGACAGCUACAGUGUACUCAUAUAAAUAAAAAUAGAUAAAUCUUAA
rnacentral:lncRNA from 1 species